rnacentral:rRNA from 1 species
CAGCAGCCACGGUAAAACGGAGGGUGCAAGCGUUAUCCGGAUUUAUUGGGUUUAAAGGGUCCGUAGGCGGAUCUGUAAGUCAGUGGUGAAAUCUCACAGCUUAACUGUGAAACUGCCAUUGAUACUGCAGGUCUUGAGUAAAUUUUAAGUGGCUGGAAUAAGUAGUGUAGCGGUGAAAUGCAUAGAUAUUACUUAGAACACCAAUUGCGAAGGCAGGUCACUAAUAUUUAACUGACGCUGAUGGACGAAAGCGUGGGGAGCGAACAGGAUUAGAUACCCCCGUAGUCCCUGUCUCUUAUAC